rnacentral:rRNA from 1 species
GACGAACCGUCCAAACGUUAUUCGGAAUCACUGGGCUUAAAGGGUGCGUAGGCGGUCCGGAAAGUUGGGUGUGAAAUCCCUCGGCUCAACCGAGGAAUUGCGCCCAAAACUACCGGACUUGAGGGAGACAUAGGUGAGCGGAACUUAGGGUGGAGCGGUGAAAUGCGUUGAGAUCCUAGGGAACACCAGUAGCGAAAGCGGCUCACUGGGUCUUUUCUGACGCUGAGUGCACGAAAGCUAGGGGAGCGAAGAGGAUUAGAUACCCUCGUAGUCCUAGCCGUAAACGAUGAGCACUGGUUUGGAGGGUCCUCCAUAGCCUUCCAGACGUAGCGAAAGUGUUAAGUGCUCCGCCUGGGGAGUAUGGUCGCAAGGCUGAA